rnacentral:rRNA from 1 species
UACGUAGGGUGCGAGCGUUGUCCGGAAUUAUUGGGCGUAAAGAGCUCGUAGGCGGUUCGUCGCGUCGAAUGUGAAAACCCGGGGCUCAACUCCGGGCCUGCAUUCGAUACGGGCGGACUAGAGUUCGGUAGGGGAGACUGGAAUUCCUGGUGUAGCGGUGAAAUGCGCAGAUAUCAGGAGGAACACCGGUGGCGAAGGCGGGUCUCUGGGCCGAUACUGACGCUGAGGAGCGAAAGCGUAGGGAGCGGACAGG